rnacentral:lncRNA from 1 species
AUGGGAAAUGGUUGGCAUUCUUUCUUCCUAAAGGCACGGGGAGAGGGGGGGGGAGAGAGAGAGAGACGUACACACACAGACACACACACGCAUCCCACAGCCAGGGAAGAGGCAGAGAGCAGGCAAGGCAGAGAGGGAGCGAGGGUAGAGAGAGAGAGAUCCCCAAAGCAGCCCUGCGCCUCUGAGCUGGAAUCUGCCAGGGUGCAGCCAACAUGUUGGUCCUCAGCUCACUUGUCUGGGGAUCUUACCUGCAGCUUUUCUUCUGCUUUGCUUUAUCUCAGACUGCGUACGUUGACAAUAUCUUCUCAGUUUCAGCAGAUCUCCCUUGUUUGGAACAGAAGAAACAGUUCAACCACAGAGCAUGCUGCCUCCUUGGCCCUCCUCCACCACCCCUGUUUCCACCACCGUACUUCAGGCAUGGCUGGAGCACUGGUCCACAAGGAAUUCCUGGUAUAAUGGGACCAAAAGGGGAGAAGGGGGAGAUUGGCAGGCCAGGAAGAAAGGUAUGAACCAAGAUGCUGUCUCAGAAAACCAUCUAAUACUUGACACAUAGCAGCUGUCAGAGAGGGGAUGCAGACAACAGUUAAACAAAAAUUAACUAAUGUUGAAGUUUAAUCUGUUUGUGCUGCUUCCCCAGGUACCCAGGGUGGGUGGUAGGGAGCUCUGGGUGCAGGGCUGGACAUCUGGGCCCUCCAGCUUGGAAAGGUGUCCCAGUUGGUUUGAAUUCAAUAAAUUCCCUCAGUAAGAGCAUGCGACUCUGGCCGGACAAUUAAAACAGAGUAGGAAGUUGCCUGAACUGUGCCUCUGUGGACAGGGGAAGCAGAGUAUGGGAGUUAUCAUAAAAGGUGUGUUAAAAAAAGCCCAAAGCAAAAUCAAACUUUUGACACCUCCAAAGUCUAAACAAGGCUCAGCCAAAUAU